rnacentral:rRNA from 1 species
UAGUUGGUGAGGUAAUGGCUCACCAAGGCAAUGACGCCUAACUGGUUUGAGAGGAUGAUCAGUCACACUGGAACUGAGACACGGUCCAGACUCCUACGGGAGGCAGCAGUGGGGAAUAUUGCACAAUGGAGGAAACUCUGAUGCAGCAACGCCGCGUGGAGGAUGACACUUUUCGGAGCGUAAACUCCUUUUAUAUAGGAAGAUAAUGACGGUACUAUAUGAAUAAGCACCGGCUAACUCCGUGCCAGCAGCCGCGGUAAUACGGAGGGUGCAAGCGUUACUCGGAAUCACUGGGCGUAAAGAGCGUGUAGGCGGGUUAAUAAGUUGGAAGUGAAAUCCUAUAGCUCAACUAUAGAACUGCUUUCAAAACUGUUAACCUAGAAUAUGGGAGAGGUAGAUGGAAUUUCUGGUGUAGGGGUAAAAUCCGUAGAGAUCAGAAGGAAUACCGAUUGCGAAGGCGAUCUACUGGAACAUUAUUGACGCUGAGACGCGAAAGCGUGGGGAGCAAACAGGAUUAGAUACCCUGGUAGUCCACGCCCUAAACGAUGUACACUAGUUGUUGCGAUGCUAGACAUUGCAGUAAUGCAGUUAACACAUUAAGUGUACCGCCUGGGGAGUACGGUCGCAAGAUUAAAACUCAAAGGAAUAGACGGGGACCCGCACAAGCGGUGGAGCAUGUGGUUUAAUUCGACGAUACGCGAAGAACCUUACCUGGACUUGACAUUUACAGAAUUUUUCAGAGAUGAAUUAGUGUCUGCUUGCAGAAACUGUAGGACAGGUGCUGCACGGCUGUCGUCAGCUCGUGUCGUGAGAUGUUGGGUUAAGUCCCGCAACGAGCGCAACCCACGUCGUUAGUUGCUAACAGUUCGGCUGAGAACUCUAACGAGACUGCCUGGGCAACCAGGAGGAAGGUGUGGACGACGUCAAGUCAUCAUGGCCCUUACGUCCAGGGCUACACACGUGCUACAAUGGGGCAUACAAAGAGCAGCGAUACCGCGAGGUGGAGCAAAUCUCAAAAAUGCCUCCCAGUUCGGAUAGUAGUCUGCAACUCGACUACUUGAAGUUGGAAUCGCUAGUAAUCGUAGAUCAGCAAUGCUACGGUGAAUACGUUCCCGGGUCUUGUACUCACCGCCCGUCACACCAUGGGAGUUGAACUCAUUCAAAGCGGGGAUGCUAAGAUAGCUACCCUCCACAGUGGAUUCAGCGACUGGGGUG